CUGGGAUUGUGUGAGGAAACCUUUCCACUGCAAGCUCAGCUUUCUGUCCUCUCAGGGUACCUGAGGGGGGUCUGGUCUCCCUGUGGUCUCUAACACUUAUUAUUUAGCCCCCCCCUUUUUUUUCCAUAGUGGGCUUUAAACCCAGGGCCUUGCACAUGUUAGGUGAGUGCUGAUUUUUAGCCACUACUCAAUUGAGUGUGAAGUGUGGUUACUCAUUAAGCUGGCCUUGAACAUAGCAGGUAGCUGGGGCUGGCCUCAAACUCACUCCUGCCUCAGUGAUCCUCCUGCCUCAGUCUCCUGGGUGCUGGGAUUGUAGGUGUGCACUAGUGUGCCCGGAUUUAGUUGUGUCACUUUGGAAGCCAGUUAAAAGAAGCACUAGACCUGAGAAGACCCCAGCUCCGUUCGUGCAGGGCUGUCCUGGGAGAAGAGUGCCGUAUCUCCCGGAGUGUGGAAGAGGCUGGGAAACAGGUUUGGCCAGAUGGGAGAAUGCUUUCCAAACUCAGAGCCGACGAGAGGGAGGGCUGCCUGGGACAGUGAGAGUCCAUCAGGGUGGAUGGACAAGAAGACUGGCUGCUUCCUCAGCGGCCUCGCCACAGGCCCGGCUUGGGGGCUUUUAGGGUUUCCCAUACCUCCAGCACCCGAGAGCUGUGGCUGCUUCUGACUUUGUAGGGACUUCCUGUCCGCACAGCUGGGAUUGCUCCCAGCCCAGAUCUGUCAUGUCUCACAGAUCCCGAGGGCUAAAUUUGGAAUUUAAUAACAAUACUUUGGAUUUAUGUCGCCUGUUUCCUUGGAGGCACUUCAUCUGUUAUCCCAUUAAUUCUAAUGUCCCUGGGCGGAAGGUGAGGGAGGGUGAGACAGGAGAAGGAAUCUUCUUGGCUUCUCCACCUCCUGAAGGUGACAGAGGCAGCUAAAGAAGGAACAGCCACUCCACCUCGCCUCCUGAGAAGGGGCUGUCCGCUUCAUGAGGCCCACUGGGAUGAAUGUUGGAGGCAUAGUAUAUUGGAAGGUUGAGUCACAAAAAAAAUUUUUUUAAUCAAGUCUCACUGUGUAGUCCAAGCUAGCCUUGAACUGGUAGCAAUCCUCCUGCCUCAGCCUCCUAACUGAUAAGAUUACAGGCCUAUGCUACCACACCCAGCUUUCUACAACAAAGUCCAACAAGGCAUGUAGGAUCCAGCAUGGGUAGGAGCAAAAGGCCCCAAGGUGCAGUGGGAGACCAGUGUCUGUGCAGAGGUUUGUUUGGAGGCCUUAUAGGUUGGAUCCUGGGGUAAAAGGAGGAUGUAUUUGAACCCAGUUUGGAAAGUGUAUGGGGUGAACCCUGUACUUACACUCUGGCACCCAGUUUGGUCUAAUCACCUACUUCCUUUUUUUCUUUUUGUUUUUUGGUUCAGGAUCUUACUAUGUUCAGGCCGAUCUUGAACUGCCACUGAUCCUCCUGCCUCAGCCUCCUGGGAACUGGGAUUAUUUGAGAUUCACCUAGUGGGUGGUUUCCUAUUUCCUAGCCAUGGGAUGCAGCUGCUGCCCUUGCAGUGGCUCACUUUUCCCAAUGGAAGGGUGGCCCAGGGUGCUGCUGGAGAGCAGGAUAGGUCCCCCAAGUGUGCCGGGGGUGGGGACUGAGGACUCACUUGGAGGAUGAGCUCUGCUGGACCUGGCACCAAGGGUGGGCAGGAAUGGGAGAGACGAGGCCCCGGUGGGGGACUCUGCUGGGCAAACAGAAGGAUUUUGGGGUUCAGGCUCCCACCACCACCUGACUGUGACGUCCACUGCAGGUGUUUUCAUUUCAAGCCCUGGGAUUUGGAUUUUGGGCUACCCUAGGCAAUCGGUCCAGCCAGCAGUGCAACUUCCAAGCUAGGCUCCAGCUGCUGCUCACCACCCCUACAUUAGGCGAGAAAGGCCCAGAAACCAUGGCUCAGUCUGCAGCAUGCGGCCAUGGGAAGUCACCCUGAAAAUCAUGUUCUGCACUCUCCUCCCCUGGUCCCACAUGAAAGUUGGGGCCGGGCUUUAAAGCACAGGGAAGGAAUUUCCGUGGCAGGGACCAUAGUAGGCCUGGGGCGAGUGUGGAAAGGGGCCUGGCAGACGUGGGCAGCGGUGUGUGCUGUUGGGUGUGGCUCAGCCACAGCACUGUCAGUGGCAGAGCCCCUGUGUCCUCCUCCACCUGUAGUGACAGUGUGGGUCCUAUAAGCUUGCUCCUGUCUGGAUCCCCGGCUCCUCCUCUCACCAGCUGGACCCUGGAGGCUCCUGUCACCUACAUUCCCCUCAGGACCGGGCUGGGAGCACCUCCAACAAUCCUGGGACACCAUGAAGCAGCACCUGUUGACUGACUGACUGAUGGACUGGGGCUGUGGCUGUGUCAGGACUGGGAUGGGGGAAGCAGAGGUAGGGAGACAUCCAGUGGCUGGGCCAGGAGCUUGGGAAGGAGAUGACUUUGGCCGCUAGGCCUGUGAGAUGCCAAGGUUUAGCAGCUCUCCCCCACGGUGGACAAGACCUGUCCCUUGAGAAGAGCCGUUAGAUUUAGUUUUCCAUUCCUCUCUGUCCACAUGGAGAAACUGAGGCACACAGAGAGAAUUUCCUCCUGAGUUGGGCACGGAGCCCAGCUCUGCCUUCUGUAUCUCCCAGCAAACUUGAGUGUCCGUGGGGGAACCCUAUGGAGGGUUGAGUACUGGAAAUGUACAUGAGGGGCUUUCUCAGUGGUCACUGUGGCGGUGGUCGGUGGGUGCUAGAGUGGCCAUGGCGCCAGAACAGUGUCAGUUGGAAGCUGAGAUGCUGGCUUGGCAGUUCAUGAUCCGUUUUGGCACGCUACUAUCCCUCACCGGAUAACUAUCUUGUGGGUGGGUGGGUCUUGAUUGGCAUAAGCCAGUGACAGUACGGCAUACUGCAUGAGCUGUAAGACCUAAGCCAAUCAGCGCAUGGAACAGCCCCGGCCAAAGGGACUGACUCAUGUUGGUCCAAUCAGAGUUGGUGAGGUGGUUUACUUGACUGUUGGGAAAGGAUCUCUCAGGUUCCAGAUGGCCUAGCGGGCAGAUGUAACGCUCGGAUGCACCACAGACAUUUUUCUGUCUCCGCCUGGGGACAGAGUUGACCUUUGGAGCAAAGAAAAGCUGAGAGGAUAUCAGAGAAACAACCAGAUCCUGACCAAACCUGCCUAUAGAAUUUAUAUCCCUGGCCUCUAGCUGUGGGGCUAACAGGUUUGUUCAAGAUUUGGUAGCAUAAUAGAGAAGAGAACUAUAUGGUCCUCACCCUCCAUGAGCACAGAAUCUAGAAGCCACGAAAGGAGAAACGCAAACAUCACACAGAGUCACACAGACACAGCCAAGUCCAUAGUCGGCUGGCUAUGGCAGAGGAGCCUGUCAGAGGAGAGCUGCUCAUGGCAUGGGGACAGGAAGCAGAGAGAGACGGGCGGAGCUGGAGAGCAAGAGAAACCCUUCCAAGCCCUGCUCACCCUGACCAGACUCUACUCCCAAAAGCAAGCCAGCUGUACUACCUCAUAAUCCAAUCACCCCCAAACCCACCUAUGAUCCACUGGAGAAAGACUGUCUUCUGAGAACUCACAAGGCAAGAGGCUUCAACCUAUAUACAGGAGACAGGCUGAAGGCCCAAAGGAAAAUUCCUCAUGAGGUGGCAUUUGUGUGGAGGACCAGUCUUUCCAGAAGGGACCCAGGCCAUUACAGUAACUUCCACUACUCUUGUGAGCUUCAAAUUGAUCUGGAUCGAUCUAUCCUCAGACCUUUUCAUCAGGCAAGUGAAAACAGAGAAGCAGGAAGGGAAGGCUGGGGCACCUCCACACUCCCUCCAUCAGUGGGUGGUGCUGGGGCGCUGGUCAUCUUCCAGUGACUGGGACGAAACAACGUCAAAGCAGAGCCCUGGGUCACUCAGGAAGGCAGGUGGGUACCCUGGUCCAGAGCAACCUUUCACAUUUCCCUGCAAAAGACCCCAUCACCAGCUCACCAACCACAUCUGGACUUCUGUCGAGUAAACAAAGAAUUUCUACUGCUCUCAGGCAGGCACUAACAUUAGCCAAGUAAGGGCUCUUUGGGGACUGGAGAAAGGAGGUUUGCAUUUGAAAAUGAACCACUGUACAUGGAUUUAUGGCAUUGCUUUUCUGACAGAGAGAGGGAAAUAUUUUUCUCUGGGAGAUUAGAAUUUACUAGUGGAUUCAAGUGUAACUUUGGAGAGUGGCGGAGGUAUUAGAUGUGGCAGUAUCACGGUAUUGUUUUAUUGGCAAUUAGAUUUCAAACUGGCACGAAUGUAUGAAAAUAAGGCUCAAUUAUGGGCCUGUGAAGUUUCCCCACCAUCUGUCAACAGUUUGCUCCUUAUGCCACAGCAUGUGUACCUUUGGAGGGGAAAUGAUUUAAUAGCCCAAGUGAAGAGGUACAGCUCACCAAAUCAUGCUGGGGUUUAUAGCCAAUGCCUGCAUUUAUGAUUUCUGAUGCAGGGAAAGAAAAUUUAAACUUGAGCAUCCACAUGUGGGUACACACACACAUAUAUGUGCGUGCACACACACAUUCCUCCCAGGGACUAAAACUGUCAGAAAUGCAAUGUAACUUCAAAAGAAGCGAGCUGAGCUUUCCCAGUUUAUAGCUGCAGAAAAGUAUGUCCAGGGAUAGCCAGUGACUUAUCCAAAUGAUUUGGGCACAUGGUCAGAGCUGGAGCGACAGCCACUAGGACACUUUGGGUGAGAGACAGAUGUGCUGGCAAAUGUGUAAGAAUGAGUUCUCUGAGAAAAUGAAGAACCGGUCUGUGGUUCUUGCCUAUGUCUGUGGUGUAAACACCCAAACAGUGACUGAUUUCCAUGGUAUCAGUGUGAUGUCACUGAAUGCAGAUUGUAUGAGUUGGCUUUCUUGUUGCUGGACAUAGUAGCUGACCCCUAAUAGCUUAAAGGAAAAGAUAUUUGAUGUGGCUCACAGUUCAAUCCACUGUAGACUCACUCUAACUAAGGGAGAAAUGAUGGAGGAAGAAAGUUGCUCACCUCAUGGCAACCAGGAAGCACAGAGAGAAGGCAGGAGCCAGGGACAAGAAUACAGUCUUCCAGGAUAUGUACCCAGUAAUCUUUCCUCUCUGACUGAGCACCACCUUUAAGCACAUGAGACUUGUAGGGAGACGUGAUAGAUCUAAACCCUAACAUUCCAUCUUUGACCCUUGCAAAAGGAUUAUGCCCAUCUCAUUAUGAAAAAUGCAUUUAGUCCAUCUCUAAGGAUUGCCAGAGUCUUAAACGUGUCACUGUUGUUCAAAAGUCUAAAUCCAAAGUCUCCUUUGAGACUUAUGGCAAUGUCUUAGCUGUGAGCCUAUAAAAAUAAGAAAGACAGUGAAACACUUCUGGCAUACAAUGGCAGAGGGUAGACAUUCAAGUUUGAAAAGGGUGCAAUAAUGGCAUACAAAGGAGUAGGACCAACACCAGAUCAGAACUCAGUAGGGCAAACACUUAAGUCCUGUAAUUCUAGGUCCAUCACCUAAGGCAAGUUGUGGUGAGAUGUGAACUCCAAGGGGCUUGGGCAGCCCUGCUCCAUGGCCUUGCUAGUUGUAGCCCCCAUGGCCUCUCUCGGGCUGGCUCUGCUCACGGCCUGUACUUUUCCUCAGCAGAUGUUCCAAAUUCAUGGCAUUUGCGGUGUCCUGAGGUCUCCACUUUACCUUCAGGUUCACUUUUCACAGCUUCUCCCAUUGUCAUCUUAGUGGCUCCUCGUGCUGGCUGUGACCCUGUCAUACAUUUUUGCCUGGUCUUCUAAGCAUUCUGAAAUCUGAGUGGUUGUAUCCUUGAUCCUGAAACUCUUGCAUUUGCCAUGUGUGGGAAAUCAGCACCACAUGGAUGAUGUCAAAAUCUGCUGUGGUCUGAGCAGGAGCCUGGGCCUUUUGGACCAUGGCUGCGGUGGCCUCUGAGUGCCUGGAUGGCUCAACUCAGGGAGAUACUUCCCUAGGUGACUCUGAAUGAAGUGGGAACUUUGGAGCUUUCUUCUUGAAUAGUCUUUCAAAUGAAUUUAGUCUUUUACCUUCCUGAGGUUUUGCUGGGUGGGAUCUUUCAGUCAUUUCCUAAGAUGCACUGAAGGCAUAUUUCCUACAAAGCAAAGUUCUUGUGCAAAGUUCUAGGCUUUUUCAUGUUAAUCCUUUCAGCAACCAUAUUCUCCUUGGACUCAACUUUAUAUACCCUUCCUUUCUGGCCAAGCUAUGAAAUUUUUAAAUUCCACUUUUUGCUCCUGAUUCUCAAUAUAAUUAAGCACAGCUGGCAGUGUGAAUGCUGGGCUGCAUUGAAAUUUCCUCCCCCGGAUCAGUUACUCUACCUCUCUUUAAAUUCAGCCUCACGCACAGUUAUAAGAGAUGGGCAAAAUGUAGACAAGUUCUUUGCCAGAAAUAAACACACAUAAUCUGCAGUCCAAUUUCCAAUACAAUCCUAAUUUGCAUCAGAACACUGCAUGCCUGGUCUUUAGUAUUCAAAUUCCCAUCAGUAUCCUGAUCUUCUGACCAGAAGGGCCCAUCAGGUUCUCUCACAGAAUUCUAGGGUUUCUCUAGUCUGCAUCUCCAAAUCUUUCCUUUUUUCUUUCUUCCUUUUUUUUUUUUUUUUUUUUUUUUGAGACAGGGUCUCACUAUGUAGGUCAGGCUGGCCUUGAAUUCACUAUAGCCCAGACUAGCUCACAAUCACAGGGCUCCCCUGCCUGUCUCCUGAGUGCUGGGGUUAUAGACAUGCACUGUCACCUCCAGCUACAAAUCUUUUCAAAUUCUCCUUGCAAGUCAGUUUCAAAGCCUUCUGAAUCACAGCUAAGAUACAACCAGUAGUGACAGUAACAACCCCACUUCUCUUGGAGUAAUUUUCUGUAUCAGUUAUCUUUUAUAUCACUGGACCCAAUACCCAGCACCUACAAUGUAAAGGAGGGUUUGUUUAAUUUGGCUUAUAGUUCGAUCCACAACUGGCUGGCUCCAAGGCAGGAUAAGCAUGAUAGGAGGGCAUGGUGGAGGGAAGCUACAUAUUGACAGCAUCGAAGAAAAGUGUGGGGGCAGGGACAAGAAUACAGCCUUUUGGGUCACACACCAGGUGAGCCAACUCCUCUGCUCAGGGCCUGUCUCCAAGCACAUGAGACUUGCAGGGGCUUUCUAUCUAUCUAUCUAUCUAUCUAUCUAUCUAUCUAUCUAUAGUUUAUGCUUAAGAUUUUUAACAUCAAAAGAAGUCACAGAAACAAGAACUAUAUUAUGAUGACCAAGCAGCAUGCUACAUGAGAAAAAUCAAGACAAAAUUAAUUUAUAAAGUAAAUGUACUAGCACAGAACAAGUACAGUAGUAGAUAUUUAAUCCAGGCUUCACAUGCAUAAAAUGAUCUGACCACAGACUUUAUAAUAAAUUAGUUCCUAGAACCCCAAAAUGCCAACCAUUCUGACUGCAAAGGGCUUUAUCCCGCUGGUGAGCAUUUUGAGAGAACUUCUAUAUAAUAAGAAAAACUGGUAUGACACUUAAAGACUGCAAAAAAUAGAAUGCAGUUACAAAUGUAUUUGUAAUGCAAUUCUGCCUAACAUAUACACUGCAAAUCUUACUACUGAAAAAAAUUUAAAAACGUAAGAUCACCCUGAAUGAAGGUUAAAACCUCAUCAAAGAAAAAUGCUUGUCAUUUGUAUAUCAUUGGUAGAAAACUUUUAAGACUUGUUGAGGGGAACAGGGAACAUAUCUAAUGAAGUCAUUCAUUUAAGAUCCAUUCAAAAAUGUUCAUGAAGUUGGAUCUGGCUGCUUAUACCAUCUUGAAAUAUUUUACCAUGAGUACAGCUUCUAUUCUUUUCUCAAAGUGAGGUCCAAAGGCCUGAAAGAAUUCUAAUGUGGGCCCAGUAGUAAAAAUCACAACUAAACUCCCUAUGUGAUUUUUGUACAUACUGAAAUGCCCCAUAGGAAAGGGCAACACUUAAAAGAAUGGUCAUGAAUAUAAAUAUAUUUCUGCCAUGUCAGAAUUCUCUGUAAGUUUAUGAUGUGAAUAUCGCUUUUCAUUUUAAAACAAGUCCCAGGCAUUAAGAGAAGCAUUUAGACCUCACAUACAAACAUGUGAAUGUAUGUAAACAUUUUCUUUUGAGGUUUCCACUACUUUCAAAUUAAGUUAUUUGAAAAAAAGACAACAUAGGAUGACAAGUCUUGGGAAACUUGUAUUUCUAGUGAAAUGGAGCACCUGAAACAAGAUAAAAGGAUAAUUUCUUAAAUGCUCACACAUUUUAAAUCAUUCUAAAUUUAAACCUAGAUAGCAUCCCUAAAAUUAAUCUUACUGAGAUUGUGCUAUUGUGACUUACUUAGAUAAUCACAGUUAACUUUUCAAAUCCUUUGCAUAAAGAUGGUGCUAAAAUAAACAGAUAAUGCUGUAUCUGGCAACUAUGUAAAUGGAUUGCUAACAAUUAAUUUUAAUAAAAGUCUGAAGAACUCUACCCCUAAAAUAAAUCCUACUGCCUUUUCUUCUUUUUUUUUUUUUAAAGGAUAAAACCAAGGAACAUAAAACAGAAUAAAACCAAUCAAAAUAAACCAGUAUAAGUGACACAGGACUUCAAAACCUUAUGAAGUCAACAAUAGUUACCAUGAUGUCUUGUUGUCUUCAAAAUAGCUACAGAUACUUUCAGACAUAGUAAAAAUCAAGCACAAUACAAUGGAAUAGAAAUAAUAAAAACAAAACAAUGAAUGCAAUAAGGAACUUCGAAGCCAAUAAUAAACCAAAAUAGCUACCAUAAUGUGUCUUGCUAUCUUUUAAAUAGCUGCACAUGCCAUCAAAUUUAACAUAAUCCAAUAAAACAAAAGAGAAUAAAACCCAACCCAAAAAUACAAUGAAAAUGAUAUGGUUUCCAGGCAGGGAUCACCUCCUACUAAGACCUGGUUCUCUCUCCCCACAGUCUGCAAAUGGUGCUGACUCACGGAGAGAGGCUUGGGUCUGGCUGUCCCCACUCCAGCAGUGGCCCAUGCAUGGCGCUGAUUUCUAGGCAGGGAUCACCCGUGAGUGAGGCCUGGUUCUCUCCCCCAACAGUGGGCAAAUGGCACUGACUCAUGGAGAAAGGCUUGGGCCUGGCUGUCCCAAUCCAGCAGAGGCUCAUGCAUAGUGCUGAUUUUCAGGCAGGGAUCACCUAGUAAGACCUGGUUCUCUCCCUCUGGGGUCCGCAAAUGGUGCUGACUUAUGGAGAAGGGCUUGGGUCUGGCUGUCCCUGCUCUCUGGCAGUGGCCCGUGCAAGGUGCUGAUUUCCAGGUGGGGAUCACCUCCUGGUGAGGAAUGACUUUCUCUUCCACAGUCUGCAAAUGGCCCCUAUUAUCUAUUUCAUGUGUUACUAAAGAAAAAAUUUAACUGAGGAGGUAGAAUUAUAACAUAUGUGUUUGCUGUAGAUUUAUUCAAAAUGCUUACUAAUUUUUGGGUUCCCCUGAAGACUACAUAAAUUGGGACUUAAAAGGACAGGUAAUGUAUGGAGACAAACAAGCAUAGUUAAGACUUUCUACUUAAAUGACAAAUUAUUUUCCCACAGAGUGAAUAACAAAAAAAAUAUUACACAUUCUGUCUCCACUUAAUAAAUGGAAGAAUGUGUUUACAAGCUUGGCCACCAAGUGAAUGCCUCCUUCUUAUUUAAGUCAAAUGACAAAAAGCAAUUCUAUCUACAGAACAAUAGAGAAUGUUACAGUAGCAUCCUCUAUUGUAGACUAUAAGAACUAAUUGCUACAUUUAAAUAUAACUUCAAAAAAAAGAGCCUAAAAUAAUUAAAAUUAGACAAUUAUGAAAUGGUUAAUUCUAUCCAGGCUGGUAACAAAUUUUCCCAGGUAUUAAAUGGCAACAUAAGCAGAAUGCUUAGUUGGAAAAUGAGGAUCAGACACUUUCUUCUUCAUCCUUCAAAAGAUGAUUGAUAUACUCAGCACCUGCAAAUUCAUAUUGAUCAGUGUCCCUUACCAUGUCAUUAUCACCAGGAGGGAGCCAGAUUGGUUCAUUAGUAAACUGAGGAUCAGAGUUGUCCAAACCAAAUUCCUCAGAAAUAUUUGGUCUAAAGAGAGCUAUCCCACUGUAUCUCAGCCAACGCUGAGUAUGGAUGUUGGCAGAUCCUGUUUGAGGAUGACAGCCUAGUCGUUCCUGUAGGUCCCUGUUCAGAAAGCUCUCUAGGACGCUUGGAGCUUUUACAGAUAGAAAAUGUGGGAUGUGAAUUUUUCUUUCCAAAACAAUUUUCAAGAGCUAUUUGAUUGAGUUUUCAUAAGGGUUAGCAAAGCUCUCAGCAAGAUGAAAUGGAGAUUUUCUGACCAACAUCUCAAACAUUAGUACUCCAAGACUCCACUAGUCAGCACUGAGACUGUUACCUCCCUCUUAACUUCUGAAACUAAGUAUUUUGAGUGCCACAGAAAGCGCUCAUCCUGUCUCCUGGCCGUAAUCUUUCCUCACCCACAGGACAGUCAAUGAGCUUAACAUGCACUUCUGAGUCCAGUAAUAAAUGGUCCAGUUUCAAAGUUUAUAAAGUAUUCCUCUCUCAUGAAGAUAAUUGAGUGCCAAACUGACUUCUGCAGAGUAAAAUCUGGCAUGUUUUCCAGGAAGUAUUUUUUGUAUGUAACACAUUAGAUCUUCUCUAUUUGUAUAGUCUAGAAUGAAGAAUAGUCUGCUUUCUGUCUAAAAACAUGAAUGCAGUUCAACAAGAAAAGGAUUUGAUGCCUGCUCCAAAACAUGCUUCUCUGUACCUGAUCAAUAUAGACAAGCUCUUUUCACAACUUUUAUUGCGUAAAUAUAAUUUUUAAAAAUUGAACCAACGGUAAUUUGUGUAACUUCCUCUUCCUGUUACCUAGAGCAAACAAGUCUUGAAGAACUAAACAGGAUAAAGCUUUGCUACUUUCCCUGGUGUUCCCUGCCUCAUUCUCUUCAUCAAUUUGUCCCAAACCCUCAUGACUUGAAGGCUCAUAUGAAAUGACCGUCUGCAUGGUCUGAAGCCAUUGGCAUCAUGGGUUCUGGUGGCAAAGAAUGUUGCCCUCAUUCAACUGUGGCAAGUCUGUGGCCUAAGAACAAAGACUUUCCAGUUGAAACACUUGUGUUACCUGGUUUCCAAAUCCCCUUAUACCGUCUGUGCCUAUGGCAAAGUGAGAAUGCCUGUUGAAACAUUCGGCUUGAAAAGUAUGGCCAUUUGCACAAUAAAGCUUUCUCCAGAGGCAUGCACCUCUGUAGUAGCUGCAUUUAUCUUUUGAACAAGGCAUUUCACAAUGCUCUGGUAUACAAUGCAGUGCAUGAAUUAAGAGUUGUUUAUCCUUCCUGGCAAGCAUGAGGUCCUGAGUUUGAUUCCCAGUACCAAAAACAAAACAGAACAAAGAAACAAAAACAAAGAACCCCAAAAAGAGUUCAUUAUCCUUGUUUAGCUCAGAAAGCCUGUAGGCUUCUUUUAACUUCAGUGGAGCUGAUACUCUACACAGGUCUCUUUUUUCAUCUACCAAUUUCAUGCGGAAAAGCUAUUCAUUGUCAAAAGAGCACACAUCUCAAACUUCGUUGCCAAGGCCCUUAAAGGAGAGGAAAGUCUCAAAACUUGUUAUCAUGUUGUCUCUUCCCAUAAUCAGGGUCUUUUGGGUGGAGAUGUAGAUCAUGGAGGUGCUGGGGAAGAAGAGACCAUAGAUGGGAUGCACUUCUUCUCAGGAGAACUGGCACAGAGGGUGCUCAGCAGUGGCCUGACUGCCUGUACUGACCAUAUAGAUUGGACUUUGACAUAGUCACUACCAAGUUAUUUCUGGGCCUGGGCCUGGCUGGUUAUAUGAGGCUUCUCAGUAUCUUUUGGGGCCUGUGGCUAUGACUUUAGUCUCUCACCCUGGACUACUCUGAUUCUGUAGGCUCUCUAUCUGUCCCUGGGGAGAUCUUCUAGGCCUGGUGAAACUUGCCUUUGGAGUCUUUCCAGUUUCUGAGCUGAGGGAGAUUUUUGUGUUAGUACCUUGCUUUUGGUAGCUCACUGUUGCUUAGUCCUGUGGAGACCUUCCUAGGGUGUCUGUGACAAUUGGGUGGUUGCUGCAGUUUCUGGAUGGAAUCAGUUGUCUGUACCAUGUUGUCCCUAAGGUUAUCUUCAAAUGGCUCAAAUUGUUUUCACAUAGUGUUUCUUUGUCUGAGGUCUCAUGGCUGCAGCUUGCUGUUGACGGUCUCUGGCCAAGUGAGCUCGGGAGCUGACUCUUACUGGAGUGUGAUGGUGUUUAACAAAAACUCCUAGGGUUCUGUUUGGGAAUGUUGCCAAGGAAGUAGGGUCAUGCCUUGGGGUUCUACAACCUGAGUCUCCUCACCCCUUAUCAGAAGAACAAACAUGUGGCUAUCUUUUUCUUCAUAGUAAAUAAAUGGCCACUUACUUAUUUUUUAUCUAUCUAAAAGAUAGAUAUCUUUUAGAUAUCUAAAAGAUAGAGGUAUCUUUCUGUUGAAGCUGAAUUCAGGUGCAGGGAUGUAGCCUGGCCCAGGCAUGGCUGAACUGAGGAUAGGAAGAUGCCUCAGGGAGCAAGCUAGGUCAUAGCUGAGGCCACCUGGAGACUUUCUUCUAGAAUACUUUUCCUUGAUUAGCAUUGUCUGUUGCUCUGAGGGGUCCUUGAACCCUUCCCAAGGUCCUGCUCAGGUUUCCUGCCUUUUCCACUCAACUCCUUCCUUGUUUUGAAUAAAUAUGGGCCACCCAGAGACAGUCUGUCUGUCUGAGCUAUCAAGGUUAUGAGCUUUGCAGAGGAUUUUGGUCUUCCUGGAGCCCUAAAGAUCAUACUGCUUGUCCCAUUCAUUUGUGCCUUAGCCAUGCAGUUGUUUGGGGGAUUGGGGAUCUAGGCCCAGACCUCAACAGCUGGUUCCUGAACAGGGACUUGACAGUGGAGACAUCUGCUGUGCUCUUGGGGUGGAACAUGGCCCCUGAUGAGCAUCUACUUCAUUUUCUUCGGAAAAUCCCCAGGUAAGUUAUGGGGAAUUCCCUGUCUGAAAUGCAGCAGAAACAUGGGGUAGGGCUGCUUUUUCUCCCUGUGGAUGCAGGCCAUGUUGUCCCUAAGGUUAUCUUCAAAUGGCUCAAAUUGCUUUAAAAGCUUGGAAAAGAAUCCCUGAAGCAACUGAUGCUCAAGGUUCCUUUAGUACUAUUAAACAGGAGGCCACUGAAUCUUUCCUUACCUUUAUAGGAAGAUUAAAUAAAGCUAUUGAAUGGCAGCUGGACAUAGCAGCAGCCUCUAUUUUAAAGCAGUUGGCAUGUGAAAAUGCAAACCAAGACUUCAGAAAUGCUUUAAAAGAUGUUUAUGUGAAACCUGCUACUACCUUGGCUCAAAUGAUUUCAGCUUGCCAAUAUAUAGGGACUCAAGCACAUAAAAUGCAAUUGUUGGCUGCUGCUUUAUGGCCUCUUGUGACUUGUUUUAAUUGUGGAAAACCCAGACAUGUACACAAAGAUUGUAAGGCAAAACCUAAAAAUAACAGACCAGGUAUCCGGUGUCCUAUCUGCAAAAAUGGGAAUCAUUGGGCCAGCCAAUGUAGUCAAAACUCUCAAAAUAAUAAUAAUAAUAACAAUAAUAAUAAUAAUAAUAAUAAUAAUAAACAAAGCCAAUCAUUAGGAAACCAGAUGGCAGGCGCAUUCCCAGCCCAGGAACAACAGGGAACUCCCUUCACAUCACUUCUUCUAACAAUCCGCUCAUGCCACCAAGGGGUGCUCUGGUAUAGAUAUAUUGUUGGAUGAACCUAUCAACUUGGAAAUCAAUUUGGAAUGGGGUGCUGGAGGUGAACAGGUGUUCCAGCACUGAGAGCAUGUGGUACAGGAGGUGAGCUAGUUUAUCAAAGGAGCAUGGUAUGAGUACAUAAAUGAACCCUAGGGAACUUGGAAUUUCCAAUUGGAAAUAAAGUUCCUACUGCUUUUCAUAGUCCUUUACUUCCCAGGACAACAGACCUACUUUUUCCCUGCUCACAUGCAUCAAAAAGAGGCAUUUUUGUGAUUCCCUGUGCUCUUGAUGUUGAUUAGACUGGAAAAUUGUUGCUUCAAUUGUGGUCUGUCUUACCCAUUCAACUAGAAUCUGAGGCCCAACUAACUGUCUUGCCUUAGGUCUCCUCUAAAACUCGGGAUGUUACUUGUGGAAAUCAAGGAUCCGGCUCUCCUGUGGUGGCUGCUGCUAUUCCCCUGGGAGAUGGAUGCCCUACCCUCUCUUUAGCUAUUGACCACAUUUCCUUUUCAGGUUAUAGCUCCUCUAUUCAAUGCUUUAUGGGGUCACGCAGAUCCUACUGAUGUGAUCUCUGACUCUCCUUCUCUACAGCAGGCCCUUCAGAGCAUUGCUCACACACUCACUGCAGUUACGGUGGAUCAAGUCCCAAAGGGCUGCCCUCUCUCCUUACUCAUUUUUCAGCCCCUUUGCUCACAGCAGCUCUUGUUGCCAUCCAGAGCAACCAGGUAUUUGUUGUUGAAUGGUUGCGUUUUUUGUUUUGUUUUGUUUUGUUUUGUUUUUUGAAGAUAGUCAGAUGCAACAGAACAAGACAAAGCCAGUCGGGACAGUGCAGUGAAAUUGGUACAGAGCUUCAAAGCAGGAUGCCAGGAUAACAGUAAUAGGUAUCAUAGUAUAUCUCAUUAUCUUCACAAUAGUUUUCCAUUCAAUCAGAUAUAGCAAAAUCAAACCAAAAACAGAACCUUAUAAAACCUAUCAAAACAGAAUAUUGAAUAGAGCAAAAACAGUCAGGAUAAAGCAAAACAGUGAAAACAACACUGGCCUUCAAAGAGAUAGGAGGAGAUCCCCCAUAUUUGCUAUACUGCAUACGGUCAUCCUCCGCGGAGAUGCUAAGACUGCUGGCCUCCAGUUGCUAAUGCGGGGGAUGGGAUGUUUAAUUCUCAGCCUGUGCUCCGUAGGCUCACAGGAGAUGCUGACUGGUUCUCCUCCUGGCUCACCCACUGCAGCCACUUAGCAGGAAGUGGGGCUUGUAGCUUUCUUGCUCAGUGCCCUAAAUUCCAACUAAUGGUUGCAUUUGCCCCACUCACCUGGCUGUGGUUUAUUUCACAUUACCCAAUGUCUUUACCUUCCCAACAGUACUUGAAAUUGUUCUAGUUACUGCUUUAUUUCCCCUUUGCUUGCAGAACCCCUACAGUCCUUUCCAAGAUCCUUUUAUAUGAGACCUCCUGCUAACUGGCCUGUCACAAAUCUGACUGGUCAAUUUUUAGUUAUACAUUCUAAAUUUGCAAGAAAUUAUUGUAAUUCAAUUUGAUUAAGGAUGUGUUUGAGUGCACUCUGAUAUUGUAGGAUGUUUGUCAGUCUGUCUGUGUAUUGUUUGUCCAGUCUGUUUGUGAGCAGUUGUGAGCUAGUGAUUGUUCACAUGUGUAGAGUAAAAAGCACAAGUAUCUGUACAAGAGUGCCCAUGAGGCACAGAGUACCUGGGAAACGCCCUGAGGGCAUGGGGUGCUGGAGGUGAACAGGUGUUCAAGCACUGAGAGCACGGGGUGUAGGAGGUGAGCUAGUUUAUCAAAGGGGUGUGGUAUGAGUAUAUAAAUGGGCCCUAGGGAACCUGGAGAGUUCUCAAGGAUCCUGAUGGGCUGUGUGCUUAUUUCUGUGUUUGUCUGAAUCUGCACAGAUCAUCUAUCAGAUCAUCUGUCCAUGUUUGUCUAUUUGUUUACUCUAUAAACAGCUGUUCCUUUUAUUUUGUGUUCAGCAAUUUCUCUUUUUUCCUUUUUUUUUUUUUUUUUUUUUGCAUUUUUGGAUCAUUUGAUCAAAGGUUUGAUUGAGUUGUGAAUUUACAAAACAUGCUUCUACCUUGGUUGCCAGCUGGCCCAAAUGAUGUAAAGACUGGAUGUGUAAGUGUGAUAUAUAUUGUUGUUUAUUGUGGACUUGAGAGUGUAUUUAAAAAAAUAAUGGGUUAAAUAUUAUGUUUGGGUUUUUCAUAAGAUCAAAAAAAUUAAGAUGGGUAAACAAAAUCCCUUAGAUUGUUAGACGGGACUCCAAUUGAUAAAUAAGAAAGCAGCUGCCUGGAAACAUUUUUAACCAGUUCAUGUUUAUUGAUUGGAGGCCCCAAUAGUCUCCAUAGCCUUUUGGGAGACACCUCAAUAAAUUUUCUUUAAAAUAUAUUGUUGUGAUGCACUCACAUUGGUCAUUGUUAAAAGAUUAAAUUUUCUAGACAAUAAGGUUCUUAUUUAAAGAUGCUCUGAUAUAAGGGUUUUCAUGUAGCUAUGACAAUUGUUACUAACCUGGUAUAUUAAUGUAUUCAUGCUUCCAGAUAUACUGAUUUUCCAAAUUGUAAAAUGGGGAUUAUAUAUGGUAAUAGACUUUUUUCAUGUUCAGACCUGAAGCUGGUUCUGCUGGUACCAAAGACUUGUGAGAUUCACAUUCUACUAAAGGUCAAUAAAUUGGAGAGAAGCUUCUUAUGUAUUAGAUAGGGAUGAUUGACUAAAAGGGAUAUUUUAUGUCAAAAUUAUAAUUUGCAUUGUUACAAAAAUGUCAUAAUUGUCAUGAUACAAUGGUAUAUACAGUUUUGAUUUCUGAUUUGCUGUGUAAAAAGUGUAGCUGUUAACACUCUGUAGGUAUUCAAAUGUUAAAAGUGUCCAUGGAUAGUAGAAAAUAGGUUUCAUUUAAUGUUCUAAGGUGCUUCAUAUUUAGAUAAAUUAGUAAUGUUAAGCUUACUGCCUCUAAUAUACUGUAUUGUUAUUAAUCUUUUCUUCUGGAUGUUCAGAAACUGAUGUUUAGAGACCAAAAAUUAGAUAUACAGAUGGGCUAAAAGGAUAGCCAGUAUUUUGGCCCCAGCCCUUCAAGGUCAGUGGGGACCCAGGACAUUAAAGAACCUCUGCUUGCACCAUCCUAAGAUACUCAGUGAGUCCCCAGUCUUCUGAUCAAGAAGAUUAUGAGACCACAGAGGAAAGUGAUCUUCGAUGUAUGGUGUGCCUAAGGAGAGUCACCAGGAGAAAAAAAAUCUCCCAAGCUUUGAUAGAAAGCAACUUGGUCAAGCAAUGGCCACGACUCAUCCAGAUGGCUGACACUGAUAGAGGAGCCAAGAGGUGCUAUGCAUGGUUCUAAGGUAAUUCCUGAGACGAUUUAACUGACCUUGAUAGAAAGCAAGAAAUGCGGGUCUUAGCUUAACUGGGUCUUGAACCUCUUGCAGAAAAGUAUAAUUUCAGAAGGUGUAGUGUAAUGCCAUAGUGAAAUGUUAGCUGUAAAAGCUCAAAUCACUAACACCUUCUGACAAUUGCUGGCUACACUGGUAACUGACUACUGUUAUAGACUGAUGGACUGUACUGGGUUUCAAUUGUGGGAUUUCUCCUAACACAACUUCUCCAGCUUCAGCUGGUCACCUGUCUCAGGGAACAGUGAAACAAAAAGGAGGAAUAUGUUGGAGCCCUUGAAGUUGAAUACACACGCCGGGCUGCGGCAUGGCCCUGGGCAUGGCUGAACUGAGAACAAGAAGACGUCUGGGGGGCAAGAUAGGCCACAGCUGAGGCCACCUGGAGACUUUCUGCUAGGAUAGUUAUUCUUGAUUAGCAUCAUCUGUUGCUCCGAGGGUCCUUGAACCCCUCCCAAGGUCCUGCUCAGGUUUCCUGCAUUUUCCACUCAACUCCUUCCUUGUUUUGAAUAAAUAUGGGCCACCCAGAAGCAGUCUGUCUCAGCAAUCAGCGUUACAAACUCUACAGAGGAUUUUGGUCCUCCUGGAGCUCUGAAGAUCAUACCGCUUGUCUCAUUCAUUUGGGCUUUCGCCGUGCACUUGUUUGGGUAUCUAGGCACAGACCCCAACAUCUUUCUAUAUGUCCUCUUGUCUAAUCUCUAAUGUAUCUUAACUACUGUAUUAAUAUUUUAUGUUUGUUCCAGCAAUACUAUUAUUCUUUGUUCAGAAUGAUUUUUAACCUGCUUUAGUUUGUUUAAACAUAAAUGAAGAUAUGGAUAACUGCAUGUAUGUUUAAGUGUAUAGGAUUGACAACCAUGUUACUAAGUUUCUGUUGGACAGUUGAACAGACCUGUUUGCAGUCUCGUUGUUUGAAUUCCCACUUUAUAUGUUCCACUUUUGUAUCUUGAAAAACUAUUUGUAAAACGACAAUAUGUAAACAUCAACUAGUGAUUUCUUACUGUUUAUUUUUUUCUCUGAACGUAUGCAUUAUUUCUACCUAUUUUCUGUUUCAUUGAGUCUUUCUUUAAAUAAAAUUAAAAAACAAAAACAAAAA